GACGUAGGGCGCGAGCGUUGUCCGGAUUUAUUGGGCGUAAAGAGCUCGUAGGCGGCUUGUCGCGUCGUCCGUGAAAACUUGGGGCUCAACCCCAAGCUUGCGGUCGAUACGGGCAGGCUAGAGUUCGGUAGGGGAGACUGGAAUUCCUGGUGUAGCGGUGAAAUGCGCAGAUAUCAGGAGGAACACCGGUGGCGAAGGCGACGUCCUGGACCGGCAUUGACGCUGAGGCGCGAAAGCCAGGGGAGCAAACGGG
rnacentral:rRNA from 1 species